CUCAAAGUGAUAGAGUGCUAGCCUUGAGCAAAAGGGCUCAGGGACACGACCCAGACACUGAGUUCAAGCCCCCAUGGCCAGCCAAAAAUAAGAUGAAAAUAGUUCACUUUUACUGAGGUCUGAAUCUGGCAGGUACUUUAUAUGACCUAAAACAUUAACCUCUUACCACCACUCUAUAAAGGCACUAUUAUUGUCCCAGAUUUAUGGAU